AUUCCUACGGAGUGUCUCUUCUAACCCUAAAUUAUCUCGGCUCCCUGUACUCGGCGUUUGCUGUUUUUGUCUGGCUUUCAGGAAACUACAGGGAGUCUUGGACGUCUCGGUUCACGGAUCAAAAAAGCCAAGAAAAUCACUCCGUCGCGUUCAGGUCCCCCCCAGGAACACCGAGAGCCCUGUUGUGGUCAGUCCGGCUGCCGCAAAGAGUUGGUCUCUGCUGCUCCGGUGUCUUGGCGGGAUCACCAAGGACUGAACAGAGAAACAGUGAGCGUGGUGACUCUACCGGUUCUUCCAAUGUCCCGGUUAGGAUACCCAAGCUCAAACACUC
rfam:Takifugu rubripes chromosome, Chr_5